UUUACAAGAAGUAUCUAAGAGGAUCAAUAAUGAGAAGAACGAAAACAAAGAACUUAUAGAAAAUAUAUCUGUUUGGAAAGAGAAGUUCCCUAUCACUCUUUAUGGAUUCUGUCCAAGAAGUGAAAAUGAGGUCUGUGAAACAGCAGACCUGGAAGGAAACUGCUCCACUGAAGACCAAGAAGCAACAGGUUCCAAAAAGUUACUCCCAUCGAUUAUGGAAAGCAGAGACCAGUCAGGGACUAUAAAUGACCAGCUCAGCAAUUCACGACCAAGAGCUGUGAGGUCCAUUGUACGUAACCUGGAAGAAAGAAAAAAGGGCCAACAGGCCACCUAUUAUUCACUGAGGUCUGAAAAAGAAGCAACACAUGUGGAAUUCAAACCUUGGAAUUUCAAAGAAAACAGUCCUCAUGGAGUCUACCAACAAGCAAGGAAGACUAU